UGACGACUCAACAGAGAAUCCUUAUACGUCGGUAACAGACGGAGGCGUAAUCGAACAGUUGCAACACGAGGAUUUUUUUUCUCAAGACCGUCCAGACAUUGACGCUUGAGGGCUAUAAGUCGACGAGAGCGUUGAUUUCAACAGUUCCUGGCUUAUUAAACACUUCCUACAGACGAUCACAAAAUGCUAGAUACUAGCGUGGUGUCAAAAUCCUGUUGAAGCAUUCGGGACAGAUAGAGUGAACAUGGACAAGUAGAAACGACCUUGUCUAUGAUUGUGCAACGUUGCACAGAGUGACCUAGUCUGCAAGUCGUACCAUUCACCGACUGGAUCCAAUAGAACUGUGCACUAGGCUCGCAAUAUCUUAAGAAAACGUCGCCUCUAAUGGUAGUAAUAAUCGGGCCAGUUGAACAGCAGUAAAACGAUAACGCCAUAAUAACGGUUUUUUCUAAUCACGAGAAAAUGUUAUAAUUGCUAAUAGCAUCAGCGAUUAAACACAGAUGAAUAGGUAAAUCUAACGAUUUCAAAAUAAUAAA